rnacentral:rRNA from 1 species
GUGCACCAGUCGCGAAUACUUUACAAUGUGCGAAAGCACGAUAAGGGAACUCUGAGUGCCUCCUAAGGAGGCUGUUCAGGUGUCUAAAAGCACCUGGAGUAAGGGCUGGGUAAGACCGGUGCCAGCCGCCGCGGUAACACCGGCAGCCCAGGUGGUAGCCACUUUUAUUGGGUCUAAAGCGUCCGUAGCCGGUUGAGUAAGUUCCUUGGGAAAUUUGGCUGCUCAACAGUCAAGCUUCCAGGGAAUACUGCUCGACUUGGGGACUGGGAGAGGUCAGAGGUACUCCAGGGGUAGGGUGAAAUCCAUUAAUCCCUGGGGGACCACCGGUAGCGAAGGCGUCUGACCAGACCAGGUCCGACGGUGAGGGACGAAGGCUAGGGUCGCGAACCGGAUUAGAUACCCGUGUA